GGUUGGAAAACAAGUCUGCUACUACUGCAAACAGCCUGGUCAUAUGGCUCCCUUUUGCCCAAUACGCCAAAAACAAGCAGAUUCCAACCCAAACAAGUCUAACACUGGAAGGGUCUUUGCUCUCAGUGCAAAGAAAGAUUCAACCAAGGAAGCAGCAAGGGAUAAUAACCCAAAAAUGAAGAACUUGAGUCGAAGUGGCAAUUCAGGAAAAAUGGGAGCUCAACAAUCAAUCUAAUUAGAACGUCUUCUCCCUUAUCACAAAUACAGCUGGAGGAACAUGAGACAUGAAAAUUAGCAUCAGAAGAUCAGUUCCAAACUCUUGGACUUAGAAUUUGAAUUUUUUUGUUUUAUGAUGUUAUCAGACAAUCGUAGUUUGUUUUCAAAAUGUAAUAUUUUAUGAA